rnacentral:lncRNA from 1 species
GGAGAACCAUUCUCUAUUGGGACACAUGUGGAAAGAACAUCCUGAAUCUAGGAUCCACUCAGACGUAAGCUUGGAGUUAUCGCUCGUUGACACUAACAAGAAAUCAUCACCGCCUUCAUCGACCAAAUUAGCACCAGCUACAUCUUCUUCAUUACUCUCAGCAGCUCUUUUAUUUCGCAGUUUAUAACAAUCUGCUUUGACGUGACCUAAC